AUUGAACGCUGGCGGCAGGCCUAACACAUGCAAGUCGAGCGGAUGACGGGAGCUUGCUCCUUGAUUCAGCGGCGGACGGGUGAGUAAUGCCUAGGAAUCUGCCUGGUAGUGGGGGACAACGUUUGGAAGGAAACGCUAAUACCGCAUAGGUCCUCGGGGAGAAACCAGGGGACCUUCGGGCCUUCCCCUACCAGAUGAGCCUAGGUCGGAUUAGCUAGUUGGUGGGGUAAUGGCUCACCAAGGCGACGAUCCGUAACUGGUCUGAGAGGAUGAUCAGUCACACUGGAACUGAGACACGGUCCAGACUCCUACGGGAGGCAGCAGUGGGGAAUAUUGGACAAUGGGCGAAAGCCUGAUCCAGCCAUGCCGCGUGUGUGAAGAAGGUCUUCGGAUUGUAAAGCACUUUAAGUUGGGAGGAAGGGCAGUAAGUUAAUACCUUGCUGUUUUGACGUUACCGGCAGAAUAAGCACCGGCUAACUCUGUGCCAGCCGCCGCGGUAA
rnacentral:rRNA from 1 species